rnacentral:rRNA from 1 species
GAACGCUGGCGGCGUGCCUAACACAUGCAAGUCGAACGGGAACCCUUGGAUUCGUCUGGGGGGGAGAGUGGCGAACGGGUGAGUAACACGUAGGUGACCUGCCCCAAGAGGGGAAUAACCACGGGAAACGGUGGCUAAUACCCCAUGUGGUCUAUCGGUCGGACGGUAGAUUAAAGUGCCCCUUAGGGGGUUGCGCUUUGGGAGGGGCUUGCGGCCCAUCAGGUAGUUGGUAGGGUAAUGGCCUACCAAGCCGAUGACGGGUAGGGGGCGUGAGAGCGUGAUCCCCCACACUGGCACUGAGAUACGGGCCAGACUCCUACGGGAGGCAGCAGUGAGGAAUAUUGCCCAAUGGACGAAAGUCUGAGGCAGCAACGCCGCGUGGGCGACGAAGGCCUUCGGGUUGUAAAGCCCUUUUCUGGGGGACGAGGAAGGACGGUACCUCAGGAAUAAGUCACGGCUAACUACGUGCCAGCAGCCGCGGUAAUACGUAGGUGGCGAGCGUUAUCCGGAAUUAUUGGGCGUAAAGCGCGUGUAGGCGGUUCUGUAAGUCGGACGUGAAAGCUCCUGGCUCAACUGGGAGAGGUCGUUCGAUACUGCGGGACUUGAGGUCGGGAGAGGGACGUGGAAUUCCCGGUGUAGUGGUGGAAUGCGUAGAUAUCGGGAGGAACACCAGUGGCGAAGGCGGCGUCCUGGCCCGCACCUGACGCUAAGACGCGAAAGCGUGGGUAGCGAACGGGAUUAGAUACCCCGGUAGUCCACGCUGUAAACGGUGGAUACUAGGUGUUGGUGGCUAUCGUCAUCAGUGCCGUAGCUAACGCGUUAAGUAUCCCGCCUGGGGACUACGGCCGCAAGGCUAAAACUCAAAGGAAUUGACGGGAGCCCGCACAAGCAGCGGAGCGUGUGGUUUAAUUCGAGGCAACACGAAGAACCUUACCUGGGCUUGACAUGCACGUAGUAGUGAAGCGAAAGCGGAUCGAUUCUUCGGAAAGCGUGCACAGGUGCUGCAUGGCUGUCGUCAGCUCGUGCCGUGAGGUGUUCGGUUAAGUCCGGUAACGAGCGCAACCCUCGCUGUUAGUUACAUGUGUCUAACGGGACUGCCGGUUAAUGCCGGAGGAAGGUGGGGAUGACGUCAAGUCAGCAUGGCCUCUAUGUCCAGGGCUACACACACGCUACAAUGG